rnacentral:rRNA from 1 species
ACUCAUACCCCGAAGGCCGCGCUCUUGCAGUGUGCGCUGGACGGGUGCUUUUAUUAGACCAAACCGCUGAGGGCGUGUUAGCUCCGUUUGCGCGGGGCGCACGUUUCACUCGCAUGAUGGUGACUCUGGAUAACCUUUGACAAGCGCACGUACCACUCUUUUGAGCGGACGGCGCUGCCACUUUCGAGUGUCUGCCUUAUCAGCUAUCAACCGUUCGUUACGUGCGACCGAUGGCUUUGACGGGUAACGGGGAAUCAGGGUUCGAUUCCGGAGAGGCAGCCUGAGAGACGGCUACCACGUCCAAGGACGGCAGCAGGCGCGCAAAUUACCCAAUCCCAGCUUCUGGGGGAGGUAGUGACGAAAUCUAACGAUGCGGGCGCCCUUUCUAGGGCCCCG